ensembl:lncRNA
CUUACGCGUUAGGAUCUUUUACUUAAAAAUAGUAAUUAAAAACUGGCGUUCAUGUGGCCGCGAGGUGAUUUGGAGGUGUGGCUGAUGCUGAAGGACUCAGGGAUGGCCCUUUCAUCCCCAGCCGGGCUGAUGCAAUGAGCCGGGCAGUAGCAGCUCCCCUCCUCCCUUCGUUAGGCAAAAGGCGUGAAGUCUUAGAAAACAAAACGUCAUCUUUAUUCAACGUGAGCGAGUUCAGCCUUCUUCAAAGUGAGAGGCGUCGUGGUUUUUUUUUUUUUUUGAAUGGCUUUGUAUCUUGGUUGGAGGUGGGAGCUUGCUUUGUCAAAGCAGAUUUUGGGGAAAGAUGUGUUAUUUUUCUGCUGACAUCUCAGUGUUCCCCGACACAGCUGAUAGCUCCAGCCAUCCCCCAGCGAGGGACACCACUGGGCUGCCACCAGUGUGAGGUUGCUAAGGGGAGGAUGUGUUCCUCCCUGUUAACUUAGGGAUGAUAGCAGAUGUAUUCGACCUCCACAUCUGAAGGGAGAGCCGCUCUGACAUGGGCACGUGGAUCACUCGAUAAAAUCCAAAGGUGUAAUGCUGCUGAGGGCUUCGUAGAGUAUUCAGGAGUCCCCUGAGAGCCAGGAGAAGUGACCUGCGUGAGUAGUGCCUGCCUGCCCUCGCAAGGGUUUGUGCCUAGGAAAGCUGAGGUCGGGAUGCUCGUGCCGUCGAGGUUUCAGGUAGAAACCUCAUGUUAGACAGUAUGUACCCUUCUGUGAGUCCUUUAGUGCUUUUUGGACGUGAAACUUAGCAGCUCGUGCCUCUCUGCAUUCGGGUAGAAGGCUGAUAAGGAUGGCAGGCCACGUUUCUGUAAGUGAUGAAUAGGGAGUGCUGAAAACAGCUGCGUUUCCCGGGGCUGUGUUGUGAUUGGGGCGGUGCUGAGAGCCUCAGUGCUUCAGGUGAAGUGAUGGGCUUGGCUGCAAACAGGAGCAGGUUUUCAGAUGAGCUGUUGAGAUGCAGACAAUUAAUAGGCGUGUAACAUGAAAAAUUCAGCAUCUUUUAAGCUGAGUACGUUGGUAUUUUUUCUGAAUAUGGAUUGAGUGCACGAUAGGAGUUCGAUAAGGUAGGGGUAAGGUAGGGCCGUUGUUGUGGGCUGUAAAUAAGCGGAGACUUGUGAGGGGUGUUUGACGAGCUUGCCAGGCUGCAGCCUUCGUGCUGCUGCUCCCUCUGCCGCCUGUUUGCACGGCCCCAGCGCUCCCCUGGGCACUGCUCUCCUGAGAGGAAGCAUAACUGCUUCUGCUGGGGCGAAGAAAGCUUAUCCAAACACCAGCAGCGGGUGGAAAACGGGGUGCAAGCGUGCACGCAUACUGAAUGAGAAGCUUCGCUGCCUGCGAUAGCGAUAGUUGGACCAGAAACUUCUUGUAGUCAAACAGGAAAACUUUGCAGGCGGAGCAUCCUUCCAGUGGGACUUCUGCUCGUGCAGAGCUGCUGCGUGGUGUAAAAACCCCC